rnacentral:rRNA from 1 species
UACGAAGGGGGCGAGCGUUGUUCGGAAUUACUGGGCGUAAAGGGCGCGUAGGCGGCGACUCAAGUUAGAUGUGAAAGUCCUGGGCUUAACCUGGGGACUGCAUUUGAUACUGGGUUGCUUGAAUUCGGGAGAGGAUAGCGGAAUUCCCAGUGUAGAGGUGAAAUUCGUAGAUAUUGGGAAGAACACCGGUGGCGAAGGCGGCUAUCUGGACCGACAUUGACGCUGAGGCGCGAAAGCGUGGGUAGCGAACAGG